AAUGCUUUGCUAAAGCUGGUAAAAUGGAACCAAAUCAACUAUUCAAUGGAUUUGGUCCCCUUCAACCAGCUGUAGCUGUGCAUUGAU
rfam:Cariama cristata contig13524, whole genome shotgun sequence.